rnacentral:rRNA from 1 species
GAUGAACGCUGACAGAAUGCUUAACACAUGCAAGUCGAUGGGGAAGUGGUGCUUGCACCAUGGCAACCAUGGCGGACGGGUGAGUAACGCGUAAGGGACUUACCUGCAGGACUGGGAUAACAGGGGGAAACUCCUGACAAGACCGGAUAAUGUCAUGGAGCUGCAUGGCUUUAUGAUGAAAGGAGACGCCUGCGGAGAGCCUUGCGUCCUAUUAGCUAGUUGGUGAGGUAAUGGCUCACCAAGGCGAAGAUAAGUAGCCGGCCUGAGAGGGUGGACGGCCACAAGGGGACUGAGAUACGGCCCUUACUCCUACGGGAGGCAGCAGUGGGGAAUAUUGGACAAUGGGGGCAACCCUGAUCCAGCAAUUCUGUGUGCACGAAGAAGGUUUUCGGAUUGUAAAGUGCUUUCAGCAGGGAAGAAGUAAGUGACGGUACCUGCAGAAGAAGCGACGGCUAAAUACGUG